rnacentral:rRNA from 1 species
AUGGUUUUCCUUCAGGAAGAGAUGUCUUGGAACGUGCUGAUCUCACCGGACCAGCUGAGCCCCAAGGGCCUGCUGCUCCGCAAGUCCAUCAUCGUGCGUCUUCUGGAGGACGUCACCAACAGGAAGGCCUCCAAGGAGCAUGGCUACUACAUUGCUGUAAACGAGCUGAAGACAAUCUCUGAAGGGAAGGUUCGUGAGCUGACCGGAGACGUUCUUUUCCCGGUCACAUUCACCUGCAUCACCCAGAGGCCUAUGAAGGGGGAGAUCUUGGUCGGCUCCGUGGAGAAGAUCCUCAAGCACGGUGUCUUCCUCAAAUCGGGGCCGAUUGAAAGCAUCUUCCUGUCGGAGAAAUCGAUGAGCGACUACAAGUACAUGGGCGGCGAGAACCCCAUGUUCAUGAAUGACCACUCGAAGCUGGAGAGGGACACCGCUGUGCGCUUCAAGGUCAUGGGGUUCCGCUGGAUGGAGGCAGACCGCCAGUUCCAGCUCCUUGCGUCGCUGGCUGGUGAUUUCCUCGGGCCGCUGUGA